UUAAUGAGGACGGGAAGGAAAGAGUGAAUUAAAAAUAUAAUAUUUAUUAAUUAUUCCUUAAAAUUUACCUUUUAGUAAAAAGGCUAAAAUAAUCUUUAUAGACAAAAGACCCUAUAAAUCUUCACAUUUAAUAAUUUAAAACCUAUCCAAAUGUUUUGCUGGGGCAGCUAAAAAGUAAACGUUUUUAAAUUUUAAUUAAAUUUAUAAUACCUAGAACUUCUAAAAAUUAAUCAAGAUACUUUAGGGAUAACAGCAUUUUCUAUUUUAAAAGACCAAAUUGAUAAAUAGAAACGUGACCUCGAUGUUGGAUUAA
rnacentral:rRNA from 1 species